AGGGAAUCUUCCACAAUGGACGAAAGUCUGAUGGAGCAACGCCGCGUGAGUGAAGAAGGUUUUCGGAUCGUAAAACUCUGUUGUUGGAGAAGAAUGUAUCUGAUAGUAACUGAUCAGGUAGUGACGGUAUCCAACCAGAAAGCCACGGCUAACUACGUGCCAGCAGCCGCGGUAAUACGUAGGUGGCAAGCGUUGUCCGGAUUUAUUGGGCGUAAAGCGAGCGCAGGCGGUUUCUUAAGUCUGAUGUGAAAGCCUUCGGCUCAACCGAAGAAGUGCAUCGGAAACUGGGAAACUUGAGUGCAGAAGAGGACAGUGGAACUCCAUGUGUAGCGGUGAAAUGCGUAGAUAUAUGGAAGAACACCAGUGGCGAAGGCGGCUGUCUGGUCUGUAACUGACGCUGAGGCUCGAAAGCAUGGGUAGCAAACAGGAUUAGAUACCCUGGUAGUCCAUGCCGUAAACGAUGAGUGCUAGGUGUUGGAGGGUUUCCGCCCUUCAGUGCCGCAGCUAACGCAUUAAGCACUCCGCCUGGGGAGUACGACCGCAAGGUUGAAACUCAAAGGAAUUGACGGGGGCCCGCACAAGCGGUGGAGCAUGUGGUUUAAUUCGAAGCAACGCGAAGAACCUUACCAGGUCUUGACAUCCUUUGACCACUCUAGAGAUAGAGCUUUCCCUUCGGGGACAAAGUGACAGGUGGUGCAUGGUUGUCGUCAGCUCGUGUCGUGAGAUGUUGGGUUAAGUC
rnacentral:rRNA from 1 species